GCCCCGACCCUGCAGCUGGGAGACGAGCCCCAGCCCCAGGAGUCCCAGGUGUUCCCAUUCUGUGAUCAGCACAGAACACACACACCUCACCAUGGAGUUUGUGCUGGGCUGGGUGUUCCUGGUUGCUCUUUUAAAAGGUGUCCAGUGUGACGUGCAGCUGGUGGAGUCUGGGGGAGACCUGGCGAAGCCUGGGGGGUCCCUGAGACUCACCUGUGUGGCCUCUGGAUUCACCUUCAGUAGCUAUGGAAUGAGUUGGGUCCGCCAGGCUCCAGGGAAGGGGCUGCAGUGGGUCACAGCAAUUAGUGGUAGUGGAGGUAGCACAGGCUACGCAGACUCCGUGAAGGGCCGAUUCACCAUCUCCAGAGACAACGCCAAGAACAUGCUGUAUCUGCAGAUGAACAGCCUCAAGACCGAGGACACGGCCACAUAUUACUGUGCGAAAGACACAUACGAUAAGGAUACUAGCUGUGCUUGAGGAAAAUAUAUGAGA